rnacentral:rRNA from 1 species
ACUGAACGCUGGCGGCACGCCUAACACAUGCAAGUCGAGCGGCAGCGAGACUAGUAGCAAUACUAGUUGUCGGCGAGCGGCGGACGGGUGAGUAACACGUAGGAAUCUGCCCUUAAGCGGGGGAUGACCAAGGGAAACUUUGGCUAAUACCGCAUAAUCUCGAGAGAGCAAAGCUGCCCGCAAGGGUGGCACUUGAGGAGGAGCCUGCGUCCGAUUAGCUAGUUGGUGGGGUAAUGGCCUACCAAGGCGAUGAUCGGUAACUGGUCCGAGAGGACGACCAGUCACACUGGGACUGAGACACGGCCCAGAAUCCUACGGGAGGCAGCCGUGGGGAAUAUUGGACAAUGGGGGCAACCCUGAUCCAGCGAUGCCGCGUGAGUGAAGAAGGCCUUCGGGUCGUAAAGCUCUUUAGGUUGGGAAGAAGGGUAUUGGCUGAAUAAUCCAGUACUUUGACGGUACCGACAGAAUAAGCACUGGCAAACUCUGUGCCAGCCGCCGCCGUAAAAC